UGUGAUAGUUUUUGUAAGAUGUUGCUGUUGUUUGCUUGUCAUAUUUUAACACUGUGAGGCAUCUUAGGAAAGUGUUAAACAGCUGCAUAAUGUUGAAACUGAAAAGAGAAGCUGAAGCAACACCGACAAUCAGCAAGACGUCUGCCUUCUCCCCUUGUUGUGUCACAUAAGAGCAAGGUUGUGAAUAUCUGGGGCAGAGGUGGAAUUAAGCAAAAUGGCCCAAGCAGAGUGCCCAUGACACAUUUUUGUGAACUGGGUAAAUUCAGCAUGCAACAAGGAAAUGGGAUGGCAUCUCCUAGUGGAAAGCUCACAUGGGGAUCUUGUAACCAACUGCUAUCUCCCAGCCUACCCUUCUCCUGUAUGGCUGUUGGGAGGAUAGAAGGGUAGGUUUUUUCUUAGCGCCUUAAGGGAAGACCAAGAUAAUAAUGUAAAUCAUAAUAAUGAUGAUGUGAAUUGGUAAU